rnacentral:rRNA from 1 species
UUAAGAAUCUUGCGCAAUGGGGGAAACCCUGACGCAGCGACGCCGCGUGGACGAUGAAGGCCUUCGGGUUGUAAAGUCCGAUAAGCGGGGAAGAAUAAGCAACGGGUAAUAUUCGUUGUGAUGACGGUACCUGCCUAAAGCCCCGGCUAACUACGUGCCAGCAGCCGCGGUAAUACGUAUGGGGCUAGCGUUGUUCGGCAUUAUUGGGCGUAAAGUGCGUCUAGGCGGGGAAUUAAGUUAGGUGUGAAAGCCCUGGGCUCAACCCAGGAACUGCAUCUAAAACUGGUUCUCUUGAGUGCGGGAGAGGAGAGCGGAAUUCCCGGUGUAGCGGUGAAAUGCGUAGAUAUCGGGAAGAACACCAGUGGCGAAGGCGGCUCUCUGGCCUAGAACUGACGCUGAGGCGCGAAAGCGUGGGGAGCGAACG